UACGUAGGGUGCAAGCGUUAAUCGGAAUUACUGGGCGUAAAGCGUGCGUAGGUGGUUUGUUAAGUCCGAUGUGAAAGCCCUGGGCUCAACCUGGGAAUGGCAUUGGAUACUGGCAGGCUAGAGUGCGGUAGAGGGGUGUGGAAUUCCCGGUGUAGCAGUGAAAUGCGUAGAUAUCGGGAGGAACAUCUGUGGCGAAGGCGACACCCUGGACCAGCACUGACACUGAGGCACGAAAGCGUGGGGAGCAAACAGG
rnacentral:rRNA from 1 species